AUUAUGUUUGAUUUGGUCGUACAAGACCUUAUUCCGCUGCCAGUUAUUCAGACCUCCAUUUCUGAUCUGAUGUAGAAUUUCCUUGUAGUUAGCAUUGGCUUUAGCCAGGUACAUAACCGCUUCUGAAAAGUUAACGUGUCUACUGUAAACAGUGGCAUUUUCGACAUCAUUUUAAAAAGCAAUUUUAAUACUCGAAUGACUCUUAGAAACGUUUUUGUUUUCACAAGAAAAUUUAUUUGUGAAAACAAAAAAGUCCGAACAAAUUAAACUAAGGACAAAAAAAAAAAAAAACCCACGAUGUACUGCAUAUUAAAAUAACUUCAACAAGAAAGUUAGUUAAAUGGAUAAAGAAAAAUAGUUAUACCAGUCUCUUGAUUACUCUUUAUCAAAUUUGUAGAUUUUCUUAGAAAUAGUGUACUCAAAUAAUGGUAGGCAGAUAUCAAAUUUAUAUUUGGUGAUUGAACAAGAGUUUUCCAUAUUUGUAGACUUUCUCGAAAAUCGUUUUCUGAUUCUUCUAAUUUGUUUGUGCUCAAGUAAAAUUUUCCCCGAAAAGAC
rnacentral:sRNA from 1 species